AUCAAGUCUUGCAUCGUCCCAAAGAAAAUCUCGAGGAGGAUUUCUUGGUUCUAGUUUCUCCAGUCCAAAGAAUAAAAGAUUAUCCUGACAAUCGCCCUGAGUCGUGGAAUUUCUCCUUUUUCCGAAUAUUUGAGGAAUCCGCAACGCAAGAAGACGUGUUUGAAAGUGUUGCACGAUCCGUAGUGGAAAGUGCUCUCGAUGGUUACAACGGUACCAUUUUCGC
rnacentral:misc_RNA from 1 species